CGUUUACCUCCCCUAGUGAGGGGAUAUCCCCGGGAAGUGGGGCUAAUUCCCCAUAGGCCUGAGGUACUGGAAGGUCCUCAGGCCGAAAGGGACUUAUGUCCGCCACAGGAUGGGCGGGCGGCCGAUUAGGUAGUUGGUGGGGUAAUGGCCCACCAAGCCGAAGAUCGGUACGGUCUGUGAGAGCAGGAGCCCGGAGAUGGACAGUGAGACACGGGUCCAGGCCCUCCGGGGCGCAGCAGGCGCGAAACCUCCGCAAUGCGGGAAACCGCGACGGGGGGACCCCCAGUGCCAUCGCAAUCCCCAGCAUUUUCCGGAGUGUAAAAAGGUCCGGGAAUAAGGGAUGGGCAAGCCCGGUGGCAGCCGCCGCGGUAACACUGACGGCCCGAGUGGUGGCCGCUAUUAUUGGGCCUAAAGCGUCUGUAGCCGGCCCCGUAAGUCCCUGAUGAAAUCCCACGGCUCAACCGUGGGGCUUGCUGGGGAUACCAUGGGUCUUGGGACCGGGAGAGGCGGGGGGUACCCCUGGGGUAGGGGUGAAAUCCUAUAAUCCCAGGGGGACCGCCAGUGGCGAAGGCGCCUCCAUGUAACGGGUCCGACUGUGAGGGCCGAAGGCCAUGGGAGCAAACCGGAUCCGAUACCCCGCCAGUCCCGGCUGUAAAGGAUGCGGGCUAGGUGUCGGGUGAGCCUCGAGCUCGCCCGGUGCCGUAGGGAAGCCGUUAAGCCCGCCGCCUGGGGAGUACGGCCGCAAGGCUGAAAUC
rnacentral:rRNA from 1 species